rnacentral:rRNA from 1 species
GAGUUUGAUCCUGGCUCAGGAUAAACGCUGGCGGCGCACAUAAGACAUGCAAGUCGAACGGACUUAAUCAGUUUGUUUACAAAUUGAAGCGGUUAGUGGCGGACUGGUGAGUAACACGUAAGCAACCUGCCUAUUAGAGGGGAAUAACAGUGAGAAAUCACUGCUAAUACCGCAUAUGCCAUAAUCACCACAUGGUGGAAGUGGGAAAGGAGAAAUCCGCUAAUAGAUGGGCUUGCGUCUGAUUAGCUAGUUGGUGGGGUAGAGGCCUACCAAGGCGACGAUCAGUAGCCGGACUGAGAGGUUGAACGGCCACAUUGGGACUGAGAUACGGCCCAGACUCCUACGGGAGGCAGCAGUCGGGAAUAUUGCGCAAUGGAGGAAACUCUGACGCAGUGACGCCGCGUAUAGGAAGAAGGUUUUCGGAUUGUAAACUAUUGUCGUUAGGGAAGAAAAAAGACAGUACCUAAGGAGGAAGCUCCGGCUAACUACGUGCCAGCAGCCGCGGUAAUACGUAGGGAGCAAGCGUUAUCCGGAUUUAUUGGGUGUAAAGGGUGCGUAGACGGGAAUUUAAGUUAGUU